UGGUUUAGUUUUUUUUACAACAAACUAUUACAAUAGUUUAUAGUUAUUUAUUUAAAUAUGUGUUGUCAAGGACGUUGUUUGAUGAUUUGUCAAGAAAGUUUUUCCCAAUUCAGAGUCAUCCGCCGCAUAAGGGAUAAGCCCGAAGUCUUCAAAAAGUCUGCCUCAAAUGCAAAUACCCUCGCGAGGUAGGAACCAAUUCAGACCGAGAAGAACUGUGAAAGCCCACAGACUGAGCAGCUGGUAAAAAUCUGCUGUCUCUGCAAGGCACACUGUAGGCUACUACACAUUUUGGGGGCAUAAAGUAUACAGAACUGCAGACUGGAUAACUGUGAACUCAGUAUGAUGUCCUUCUGUCAUUCUCUGGCUACUCAUGACUAACAGCAAGAUGAUGAGUCAUGACUUGGAUGUUUCCAUACUCAUUAAGAUAGCAUAUCCGGUUGAAAGAGUGGAUUCUCAAUGAUCCUGUUUUGAGCGUCAGUGUUAAGAAAUGCUGCAGAAGGAUAGUUAUGUGGUGCCUUCACGUGGCGAAACCUUGUCACUGCAACCACCUCUACAACAUUAUUUCAAUACAAUGUUUUGAUUAGAUUGCAAUGCUACCAGAAGCAUGAAAUAUUUAAUGAUGAAAAAGGUGUCAGUCUACUUACAUUAAGAGAACAUAUGCAUGACACUGAAAAACUUCAAAGCAAAAUGAAUAUAUUUUUCUGCUCUUCAACUAUACCUGGUAAGCCUAGGGUUCAUUGUCAUUCAAUUACAAGUAGUUGAUGACGAUUACAUUAUAGAUGUAGAAGUAGUUUAUGUUGAGCAUAAUAUUGACCAAAAACACUCCACCUUCACCUACACUGUGAAAUAUACUCAAACCAUGAACAUAAUUGCUGUUCUUGUCUUUCAUUUGCAUUUAUAUGAUCUAGACAUGCCAAUUUAAGAUAUUUUAUGCACAGACAAUCCAGCAUUUGGUCACAGCCCAUUAAAUCUCUGUAGUUGAUAUGCAAAUAAUAUCCUUGGGCUACUAUUGUAUUCCCCUACUUGCAAAAUGAGAGAGAAGAACAUUGUUAUUGUUGCUGUUAUCAUGAUCAUAUUCCAUAGGCUGUUAAUGUUGUCGUUAAAUGUUUCCACAAUGUGUUAUCAACAAAUCCCUGUUAUUACUUUUUGGAUGAAAAAUUGG